rnacentral:rRNA from 1 species
CCUACGGGUGGCUGCAGUGAGGAAUAUUGGUCAAUGGACGGGAGUCUGAACGAGCCAUGCCGCGUGCAGGAAGAAGGCUCUAUGAGUGGUAAACUGCGUUUGUAGAAGGGUAAACCGGAAUACGUGAAUGCAGCUGCAAGGACGGUAUGAAUAAGGAACGGCUAACUCCGUGCCAGCAGCCGCGGUAAGACGGAGCUUCCAAGCGUUAUCCGGAUUUAUUGGGUUUAAAGGGUGCGUAGGCGGUUUGCUAAGUUAGAUGUGAAUUGUCCGAGCUGACCCCGGGAACUUCCUCUGAUACGGUUGGUCUAGAGUGUAGAUGCGGUGGGCGGAAUGUCUGGUGUAGCGGUGAAAUGCUUAGAUAUCUUGCAGAACACCGAUUGCGAAGGCAGCUUACCACUCUGUAUCUGACGUUGAGGCACGAAAGCGUGGGUAGCAAACAGGAUUAGAUACCCUUGUAGUC